UACGAGGGGGGCAAGCGUUGUUCGGAUUUAUUGGGCGUAAAGAGCUCGUAGGCGGCUUGUCACGUCGGAUGUGAAAGCCCGGGGCUUAACCCCGGGUCUGCAUUCGAUACGGGCUAGCUAGAGUGUGGUAGGGGAGAUCGGAAUUCCUGGUGUAGCGGUGAAAUGCGCAGAUAUCAGGAGGAACACCGGUGGCGAAGGCGGAUCUCUGGGCCAUUACUGACGCUGAGGAGCGAAAGCGUGGGGAGCGAACAGG
rnacentral:rRNA from 1 species